AACGAACGCUGGCGGCGUGCCUAAUACAUGCAAGUCGAGCGGACAGAAGGGAGCUUGCUCCCGGAAGUUAGCGGCGGACGGGUGAGUAACACGUGGGCAACCUACCCUGUAGAUCGGGAUAACAUCGAGAAAUCGGUGCUAAUACCGGAUAAUCAUUUGAAGUGCAUGCUUCGAAUGUAAAAGAUGGCUCCGGCUAUCACUACGGGAGGGGUCCGCGGCGCAUUAGCUGGUUGGUAAGGUAAUGGCUUACCAAGGCAACGAUGCGUAGCCGACCUGAGAGGGUGAUCGGCCACACUGGGACUGAGACACGGCCCAGACUCCUACGGGAGGCAGCAGUAGGGAAUCUUCCGCAAUGGACGAAAGUCUGACGGAGCAACGCCGCGUGAGUGAUGAAGGUUUUCGGAUCGUAAAGCUCUGUUGUUAGGGAAGAACAAGUGCCGUUUGAAUAAGGCGGCACCUUGACGGUACCUAACCAGAAAGCCACGGCUAACUACGUGCCAGCAGCCGCGGUAAGAC
rnacentral:rRNA from 1 species